UACGUAGGGUGCAGGCGUUAAUCGGAAUUACUGGGCGUAAAGCGUGCGCAGGCGGUUUGCUAGGACAGUUGUGAAAUCCCCGGGCUCAACCUGGGAACUGCAUCUGUGACUGCAUCGCUGGAGUGCGGCAGAGGGGGAUGGAAUUCCGCGUGUAGCAGUGAAAUGCGUAGAUAUGCGGAGGAACACCGAUGGCGAAGGCAAUCCCCUGGGCCUGCACUGACGCUCAUGCACGAAAGCGUGGGGAGCAAACAGG
rnacentral:rRNA from 1 species